UACGGGGGGGGCAAGCGUUGUUCGGAAUUACUGGGCGUAAAGGGCUCGUAGGUGGCCAACUAAGUCAGACGUGAAAUCCCUCGGCUUAACCGGGGAACUGCGUCUGAUACUGGACGGCUUGAGUAUGGGAGAGGGAUGUAGAAUUCCAGGUGUAGCGGUGAAAUGCGUAGAUAUCUGGAGGAACACCGGUGGCGAAGGCGGCAUCCUGGACCGGCAUUGACGCUGAGGAGCGAAAGCCAGGGGAGCAAACGGG
rnacentral:rRNA from 1 species